rnacentral:rRNA from 1 species
GAUGAACGCUAGCGGCAGGCUUAACACAUGCAAGUCGAGGGGUAACAGGAUAGCUUGCUAUUGCUGACGACCGGCGCACGGGUGCGUAACGCGUAUAGAACCUACCUUAUUCAAGGGGAUAGCCCAGAGAAAUUUGGAUUAAUACCCUAUAGUAUUUAUGAUUGGCAUCGGUUAUAAAUUAAAGAUUUAUCGGAAUAAGAUGGCUAUGCGUUCUAUUAGCUAGUUGGUAAGGUAACGGCUUACCAAGGCUACGAUAGAUAGGGGUCCUGAGAGGGAGAUCCCCCACACUGGUACUGAGACACGGACCAGACUCCUACGGGAGGCAGCAGUGAGGAAUAUUGGACAAUGGGCUCACGCCUGAUCCAGCCAUGCCGCGUGUAGGAAGACUGCCCUAUGGGUUGUAAACUACUUUUGUAUAGGAAGAAACGACUUUACGUGUAGAGUUUUGACGGUACUAUAAGAAUAAGGAUCGGCUAACUCCG